GUAUCCACAAACUAAUUUGACUGGUCAGCUCCCCUCUAGUUGGAGCAAGCACACACCACAAAAACGACUCUUAAAUUACAGGGCCGGCUUUCUGACGGGGGGAGGGGGUGGGGAAUACGUGUGCACUAUAUAGGGGCGUUUAUAGGUGCCUCUGAAUCGGAAACUUCACUAUUCAAAAGUGCUUUGGGGCCAAAUGAGCUCUCCAACUCUACAAGCAGAAAGCCCUACUGGGGAUAUGUGGAGGGGGGAUAUUCCACCCCCACCACCAGACUAGGCUGCAUUCAAGAAAGACUCAGAUUGAGGGAGGGAGGGAGGAAAGGAAAGAAGGAAAAAAAAAAAAAAAAAAAAGGAAGGAAGGGAAGGAAGAAAGGAGGAAAGACAAGAGAUUUUUUAAAAAGAGAGGAUUUAAUUGGACUUAGUGGCAGAGGGGAUUAGCAAGAGGGGCACUUGGGACCUGGUUUUAAAUUGGCGAGUGCUUUUUGGAAGAAAACACUGUACGCACGAUCAGGGUCUGGGUGUUCCAGCGAACUGAUGACCAUACAAAUCACGAGUUUCACAGGGAUGACAUAGUGUCAUGCUUUAGCCAUGAGCUAUCGUGGAAACUAGCCUCCCUCUCGUAGGCAAUCCAUCAUUCACUAACUGGCCGCUCCACCAUUCCACACGGAAAGAAGUCGGACUCGGAGCCUCCCGCGCGGGCUGGGUCUGGGAACCCUCUGCGGGCGCGGGUGCGCGGGCGGGCGACCGAGUGCCGGCCAAGCGGGGCUCGGAUGGGAGCGGCCCGCGCCAGAUCCGAGGGCGAUUGCCUCUCCAGCCUGCGGAGGGUACGGCCGCGAGUGCCUCCAAAUCACUAGGGGACUCUGAACGUGUUGCUCCCGUCAACUCGCUCAACAUGAUUCAUUUAUUCACUUAGAUAAACCACCACCGCCACACCAACCUGCCACUUGAUGCGCACUUAAAAGGACAGGGGAGCGCGGGCCAGGCAGACCCUCCGCCGGACACGACUCGGGGAGAAACAUGUUUUAAAAUCCAAGCUCUUGAGCUUCUAACCAGGGAGCGCGCGCGAGUGUGUGAAGAGGCUGAGAACCUCGGUUUUCAGAGACUCUAGAAUAAACUUCUCGCCCCCCUCUCCUCCCGAGGACAGUCGGGACUGUGGGUGAUCGAGUCUCAUUGGGUCGGGUCGGCCUUCUAAGUUGGCGGGGCCCUGCGGGACCGGUCUGCUUGACCCGACCGCGCUCGCAUUGGAGAGCCGAGGCUCGAUCGGUCUGCCGGGCUGCAUAACCCCCGCCCCGCAGCAGCGGCGUCCCUCGCGCGCCGCCGCGUUUCCCGCGCUCUCGGCCCGUACUUCCCGGCGCGGCCUACAAGGCCCCGCGCGGCCCCGCCUCCGGGUCCCGCUCGGUCUCCGGCUGCGAGAGGGAAGGCGGAGGUUAUCCGCCGAGGGACAAGCGGAGCGGACCGAGGUUCCUGAGCAGAAGGGAAAAUGAGCUUAAACAUGAGGCUUGGAGGAGAAAGAAGGGCUGGGGAGAAAUAUGGUUAUUCAGUCAGUCAGUUCAGUCACUCAGUCGUGUCCAACUCUUUGUGACCCCAUGGACUGCCGCACACCAGGCUUUCCUGUCCAUCACCAACUCUUGGAGCUUGCUCAAACUCAUGUCCAUCGAGUUGCUGAUGCUAUCACUUUAUUGGUUAUUACAAGAUAUUGAAUACAGUUCCCUGUGCCAUGCACUUCUGCUGCUGCUGCUAAGUCUCUUCAGUUGUGUCCGACUCUGUGCAACCCCAUAGACGGCAGCCCACCAGGCUCUCCUGUCCCUGAGAUUCUCCAGACAAGAACACUGGAGUGGGUUGCCAUUUCCUUCUCCAAUGCAGGAAAGUGAAAAGUGAACGUGAAGUCGCUCAGUCGUGUCCGACUCCUAGAAUACACCAAAUAUAACCAAAAGAACACAUCCUUCACACAUCUUGGUAUUUAUCAGCUUAAGAAAGUCAGCUUGUCUGAAAGUCAGUUUCUCAACUUGAAACGAGAAUAAAACUAUUGUGUGAGAAAUAUUUUAAGCAGUUACUGAAUUCAUGUGAUCAAAGUCUUCUUCAAAGUGCUUGUUUAUUGUAGCUGUUCCUCAAAUGUCAGGCCCAUAUUUUCUCACUACCAGAACACUCCAAAGAUCCCUAUCACACAAGUCUGUUAAAUUGGGGUGUCCAAUUUCUGCUGUUGUAUUCAUUCAGUUCAGUUGCUCAGUCAUGUCUGACUCUUUGAGACCCCAUGGGAUGCAGCACACCAGGCUUCCCUGUCCAUCACCAACUCCCGCAGCUUGUUCAAACUCAUGUCCAUUGAGUCAGUGAUGCCAUCCAACCAUCUCAUCCUCUGUCAUCCCCUUCUCCUCCUGCCUUAAGUCUUUCCCAGCAUCAGGGUCUUUUCCAAUGAGUCAGUUCUUCGCAUCAGGUGGCCAAAGUACUGGAGCUUCAGUUUCAGCAUCAGUCCUUCCAAUGAGUAUUCAGGACUGAUUUCCUUUAGGAUUGACUGGUUGGAUCUCCUUGCAGUCCAAGGGACUCUCAAGAGUCUUCUCCAACACCACAGUUCAGAAGCAUCAAUUCUUCAGUGCUCAGCUUUCUUUAUAGUCCAACUCUCACAUCCAUACAUGACUACUGGAAAAACCAUACCUUUGACUGUAUGGACCUUUGUUGGUACAGUAAUGUCUCUGCUUUAAUAUGCUGUCUAGGUUGGCCAUAGCUUUUCUUCCAAGGAGCAAGCGUCUUUUAAUUUCAUGACUGCAGUCACCAUCUGCAGUGAUUUUGGAACCCAAGAAAAUAGUCUGUCACUGUUUCCAUUGUUUCCCCAUCUAUUUCCCAUGAAGUGAUAGAACCGGAUGCCAUGAUCUUUGUUUUUUGAACGUUGAGUUUUAAGCCAAACUUUUCACUCUCCUCUUUCAUUUUCAUCAAGAGGCUCUUUAGUUCCUAUUUGCUUUCUGCCAUAAGGGUGGUGUCAUCUGCAUAUCUGAGGUUAUUGAUAUUUCUCUCAGCAAUCUUGAUACCAGCUUGUGCUUCUUCCAGUCCAGCAUUUUGCAUGAUAUGCUCUGCAUAUAAGUUAAAUAAGCAAGGUAACAAUAUACAGCCUAACAUAUUCCACUGCUCAUUUUGAACCAGUUUUCCAUGUGCAGUUCUAAGUGUUGCUUCUUGACCUGCAUAGUGUUGUAUUCAUAAUACCUAUUUUUUUCCAGAUGGGUAGGAUGAAUAUCAGCAUGUUUUUCUGACUUGCUGCUUCCAUAGUAUUCUCAGGAAAGGUCUUUACUUAAUAUCAUUGGUAUAAACUAUCUUAAAUUGAGAUAGAUUUUGGUCUUUCAAUCUCUCUUUAAUGGCCAAACUAUUCUCAUUAUUCAGCCUUAUAUGAUACUUUCUGUUGGAAUUAUUGUUGGAUGAAUAUGUUUUGCAUGUAUCUUACAGUUCCUCUAUAACAACACACACCAAAGAGACUUCUAAUUGGCAAUAUUACUCAUGUGGAUGGUCACAACUUAGAAAUUAAUUUUAGACAUAAAUACUAGAUUAUUGUGAAAAUGGCCAUGUCUUUAUUCUAUCCUUGUCUUUCGGUAUCUAA
ensembl:lncRNA